rnacentral:lncRNA from 1 species
AUACGCCGAUUUUUUCUGUUGGCCUAGAUGUCUACCAAGCCACUGAGACAGCUGACUUCAUUCUGUUUGUAAAUGACUGGUUUAACAUUCCUCAACUCAACCACAAAGUAUUCAAAGAUGUCAAUUUUGACAUUUGAUAAAGUCUAAAAUCAGCUUUUGUUUGAUUUUGAAAUUGUUUGGUGAGAAGAGUCUAAAAUCAGCUUUUGUUUGAUUUUGAAAUUGUUUGGUGAGAAGAGGUAUAUAAAAUACAGAUAAAAAAAUCAUUGAAUUCGUUUUGUGCGAAAGAGAGUGAAAUAGCUUUUUGCUCGUGACUUCUCUGUAUACCCUGUGUUUGUGUAUCCGGGAAAGGAACCAAUUGGUCAUGUAUUGGGAACACAACUUGAAAAAUUGGACCAAAUUAACAAAAUUAUAUCGCUUCCCGUAGUACCCAACAAAAAAGCCUUGAACCUCUCCAAAAAGGUAUACUUACAACUAACAAAGCAUUUGUUAUGCUUCACGAAUAUGUUGAGGAAAGGUUCAAGAUGACUUACAUGUGCACAAGUGUGUUGGAACACUUCUGUGGUGCACUUCGCAGCAAAGGGAGUUUGAAUGAUCAUCCCUCCCCAAAAGAUUUUAAAUAUAGGAUGAGGAAAUACAUCUUGGCCAGAAAUACUGAGCAUCUUAGUGGUACCGGUAACGUGGGUUACGACACAACGGAAUGGCUCAGCGCUUAAGAUUCUCAAGAAUCUUUUAUUAAAAGUGGAUUAAAAAUUCAGAACGACCCAGUUAAAAUGGACGAAAUUUUGGAAGAACCCCAAACAAAUGCACUUGACGACUUAUGUGGAUCGAAUUUUGAUAUGGGUACUCUCCAAGUAUAUGCUUUGGAAUAUAUAGCUGGCUACAUUAUUAGAAGCAUCAGCGUUGACCUUCCGCCACAUAUUAAAGAGUUUUUCUUUAAAUGUCGGAUAUAUUUCCGAAUUCGCCAUUUAAAUCAACGGCUUAAAAAACAAAAACUUAAGCAGAAGAAAAUCAGCAAAAAGAUGCUUAAAAUAAAGCUUUAAUAAUUCAAAUUAUCGUACCCCUUUCCCACAUAAUAACGUUUCCCAACCGUGUAAAAGUAACAGUAAUUCCCACCACCCAUCAUACUUUAUUGGAUUACUGUUGUUGCUGAAAGGUUUGCAUUUUGCAACCCACGUAACAAGUCCACUUUUUCUAGAAAUUAAGAUUUCUA